rnacentral:rRNA from 1 species
UACGUAGGGACCGAGCGUUGUCCGGAAUUAUUGGGCGUAAAGAGCGUGUAGGCGGCCAUGUAGGUCCGUUGUGAAAACUCGAGGCUCAACCUCGAGACGCCGAUGGAAACCAUGUGGCUAGAGUCCGGAAGAGGAGAGUGGAAUUCCUGGUGUAGCGGUGAAAUGCGCAGAUAUCAGGAAGAGCACCCGUGGCUAAGGCGGCUCUCUAGUACGGUACUGACGCUGAGACGCGAAAGCGUGGGGAGCGAACAGG